AGAGAGCCCAGCUUGGGAGCCCAGAGCCCAGCUUGGGAGCUUUCCGACCGGGACUCCGCCCAGACUUGACCGUCCACAGCCGGCCGACCCACCGACCCCCGCGGCGGCGCAGGAGGCCGCCGGGAAGGAUUCGCACUUGCUCAACUCCACUCCCCCUCUGUAGUUAAUCGCGCUCGUUCCACUCCACUCUCGCUCUCCAAUCCCCCCAUGAGCCGUCGCCGGUGAAGAACAGCCCAUGGCCUGCGUCCUGGACCGCCUCUUCAUGCCCAGCACCGACGAGCCGCUCCAGCGACCCUAGCCGCCGGCCUCCGCGGCGGUGGAGACCGCUAGGAAGGUGCAACAGGCGGCGUUACCAGUAUAGCGGCCGGCCGAGCGGGGGAGGCGCUCCCGCUCGUCGUGAAUCGGCCUCGGCCCCAGCUUCGUCAACAGGGUGCGUGGGGAGCAAAUCACCGCCGAUUGGCCCGCCUGGCUCUCCAACAUCGCUGUCGAGGCCAUCGGCGGAUGGAGCCCAUGUCGCGCUGACUCCUUCAAGAAGAUUGGCAAGGCUUAGCUUUUUCUUAAUGUCAUCUUGCGAAGGGUAUGCACUAUGCAGAGCUGUCCAAAUCAUUGGGAUAAUGGACAGCACUAUCUAUGCUAGUCUGAGACCCCUCGUUACCGUUGGGCAUCAAAAGAAUACCCCUCAGUAUCUUAACAUGACCAAACCAGCGCGAAUGCCAUAAACUAAUCCUAGAUCUCCUUUAGUUAAUUUCUGGAUAACAUAUAGCGCGUCAGGUUAGUAAACAAUUCAUGGACUUCCUCAGGUUGGUAAAUUCAUUUUCCUUUGCUGGUCUAACAAGCAUGAUCCAUGUAUAUGAACCUCUCCAUACAAAAUUAUUUCUACUUUGCUCACAUGCCAUCCAUGUACAUGAACCCCUUCAUACAAAAUUCGUUUUCUAACAAGCAUGAUACAUGUACAUGUGACUUUAAUGUCUCCUCUGCUCACAUGUUUUUUUUCUACCAGCAGACUGAGAAUCAUUAAGAAGCAACUCAUUUAAAUCAGGUCUAUAUGAAGGGAUGGGCAUACCUGUUGAGUGCCGACGAAGAUCCGAGCACAGUAGCGGCACGGAGACCUCAGCACUUAACGUGACGGAGCAGAGGGAGGACCAGUGAAGCCUGCGUGUGGUGUGGCGUCGUGACGUCUAGUGUCGUCGACAAUCUUGUGGAGUAGGGCGGCGCAAACGGCGGUGGUGGAAAGUCAGCCUGGUGUGACGGAGCACAGACAGUCUGGCAGCUUGCCGUCCGGCGUCGUCCAGGUUGUCUCGUGCCAAUUUGAUCUUCACAUCACCGGCAAAGGGAAGGCCGGGAGGUCUCCACACCGAAGCCGAAGGAUGCACGCAUGGUGGCUCGCGGCAGCGUGGAAGCGGCAGCCAGGUGCGCCGGGCGGUGCUUUGAAAGAUCGGAGGGACGUCGAGGCUCGGUCUUGGCAACCGAUUGAAGGAAAGUGGCGUGGGCGAGAGUCGUGCGUUCGCGAGUCUCGGUUGCGGAGACCGUGGCUGACUCGUGGUUUCCUUAAUAACUCUCCACGUAAUAACCUAUUGGGCCUUGAUCAUAGUGGGCCUUGAUAUUAUUUGUUUUACUUUGUAACAGGUGGAUGAGUGAGAGUGAAUUUGAGAUUUUUUUUUAGAAAAUGAAGCAAUAUAACCAAGGUUUGAUUUCAGUUUCCAAUUUGACGAGAGUAAUGUAACCAAGGUUUGAGAAUAAUAUAAUCAAGGUUUAGAAAAUUGUGGACGAGAGUUUGAUUUC